UACGUAGGUCCCGAGCGUUGUCCGAAUUUAUUGGGCGUAAAGCGAGCGCAGGUGGUUUAUUAAGUCUGAUGUAAAAGGCAGUGGCUCAACCAUUGUAUGCAUUGGAAACUGGUAGACUUGAGUGCAGGAGAGGAGAGUGGAAUUCCAUGUGUAGCGGUAAAAUGCGUAGAUAUAUGGAGGAACACCGGUGGCGAAAGCGGCUCUCUGGCCUGUAACUGACACUGAGGCUCGAAAGCGUGGGGAGCAAACAGG
rnacentral:rRNA from 1 species